GCUAAGGCUGGCGUUGCGGUGCUUUGCAGCCAGCCUGGGAGACUGGACUCCUCUUUGGCGCUACCUGUCUGCUCUGGGCACCUCUGUGGCCUGAGCUCUCAGAGUAGAAGCAGCUCACGGGGACACUCAUCCACAUUCGGGAACAGAUGAAAAUAUCCACCGAGACACGCACGCACAGGCACAAAUGCACCCCGAUAAACAUGCUCAGACUUAUUCCCAGCGACAACCACAGACUCGGAGACACACCCGCCCAGCGCACCGACAUGCACACUCGUGCGCUCUCUCACACCGAAGCUGAAGGCAUGGACACACGCCUAGCCAAGAUAAGUGAACGAGCGCUCUCACCACACACACGCGCACUCACACGCACACGCCCGCGCACACGCCCACACAUGUUCCUUUGGGACGAAAAAAGAGACAUAGGGUGGUCUCCAUCUAGGUCGUUAUCCCCCGCCCCCAAACACAUAAAUGAUACCCCCUGCCUCCAACCCCAAGCACCACUGUAUUCCCUUUCAAACAUUUGGCAAGACCACAGGAGGUGACUUCAGCAGCUGCAGAUUUCCUCAGCACACUCGCCUUCAAGCACUUUUGGUGCUCUCCUGGGGAAUUUGCAGCCAUUGAAACAGAUAAUUGUACCCUUUGGAUUCUAUUAGAAGCUGAGCCCCAGACUUAUGCUAAUGGGACACUGCUAUGAACGAGAGACUGUUGGGCAUGGCUUAGACUGGCUGGAAAGAGAUGUGUGGCGGGGUCCCGGGAGCUGCACAGCGUCGCCUCUGAGGACCCGGAUGUAUGUAGAACUUCUCACGGUUCCUGCGCGAUGUGGACAGCAUAAAGACCAGAUGCCAGGAGGAUACCUGCUGUCAUGACUCUUCAUGUUAGCCCUCCCUGAGUCUCCCUGACCCGGGGUAUACUUUUAGUUUUGUCUUUUAUCCUUUCCUCUCUUUUGUUCAGCCCGUUUGCUCCGCAGAGCCAGUUUUGCCUUAACCCCUCACUUUUCAAAUAAACCUUCUCACCAUU